rnacentral:lncRNA from 1 species
CAAUUGGGACCAAUAGAGUAACCGGUGAACUUUGAAGAAAUUAAUUAUUAAUAAAGAGACAGACCAAUAUUAAUAAUUACAAGAGAGGACAUUUUUGGUAACAUUAAUAAUUGGUCAAUUGGUGCUGGAAGAUAAAAUAUCAAUUGAGAUAUUUUAUGAUACUACUUAAUAUUAUAUAUUAUAUAUAAUAUAUAUUUAAUGUAGUAUGUGUGGUGGAAAAGAAAAGAAGAAAAGAAGAUAUAUCAGAAAGAAGAAAAGAAAGAAAGGGAAGAGGAGAGAAAGAGGAAAAGAGGAAAAGAAGGAAGAGAAAGAGGAAGAAGAGGAGAAGAAGAAAACUCAUGGGAG